rnacentral:rRNA from 1 species
ACCAGACUCCUACGGGAGGCAGCAGUGGGGAAUAUUGGGCAAUGGGCGCAAGCCUGACCCAGCAACGCCGCGUGAAGGAAGAAGGCUUUCGGGUUGUAAACUUCUUUUAAGAGGGAAGAGUAGAAGACGGUACCUCUUGAAUAAGCCGCGGCUAACCACGUGCCAGCAGCCGCGGUAAUACGUAGGUGGCAAGCGUUAUCCGGAAUUAUUGGGCGUAAAGAGGGAGCAGGCGGCAGCAAAGGUCUGUGGUGAAAGACUGAAGCUUAACUUCAGUAAGCCAUAGAAACCGGGCAGCUAGAGUGCAGGAGAGGAUCGUGGAAUUCCAUGUGUAGCGGUGAAAUGCGUAGAUAUAUGGAGGAACACCAGUGGCGAAGGCGACGAUCUGGCCUGCAACUGACGCUCAGUCCCGAAAGCGUGGGGAGCAAAUAGGAUUAGAUACCCCCGUAA